UGCCAGCCGCCGCGGUAAUACAUAGGGGUCAAGCGUUGUCCGGAUUUAUUGGGCGUAAAGAGUUCGUAGGUGGUUGAAAAAGUUGGUGGUGAAAUCCCAGAGCUUAACUCUGGAACUGCCUUUAAAACUGUUAGUCUUGAGAUCGAGAGAGGUGAGUGGAAUUCCAAGUGUAGAGGUGAAAUUCGUAGAUAUUUGGAGGAACACCAGUGGCGAAGGCGGCUCACUGGCUCGAUACUGACGCUGAGGUACGAAAGUGUGGGGAGCAAACAGGAUUAGAUA
rnacentral:rRNA from 1 species